rnacentral:lncRNA from 1 species
AACACAAACCUGCUUUUGUGGAAGUCUCUCUGGAGAUCAGACUGCUGUGACUAGGAGGUGAAAACUGAGGGGUUUGCUUGUUAAUAUUUCCCUUUGCACACUCCCUUCUGGGUUUUGACAAUUAACUGGCCUGCUUGGGGCUAAAUGCAGCCAGCUCCACAAUAAUUGCUAGAAACCUAUCUUGGAGUCCAAAUAACUCCUAGGGAAUUUCACUUUUCAGUCAAUGAAGAGACUCCGGGACAAACAUUUAAUCUCUGUCUGCCACAUUCUUCCUCGUGACCUUCACGAAAUGACUCGAGGAUCCACAGAGAAACAGGAAGAUGAGCGUUAUCAGCAGCAGUGGGUGCUCAGGAAGCCGUGGCCCUCUCUGCCUGUAAGCAUCAUCGGUAGCUUGUUUCUCCUUGGUCCUGCAGUACAGUCACCCACGGACCCUUUCAUUGUGCCUGGCUCUCCUCCUGCUCAGUGUCUGCCAACAUAUCCUACUUCGCUGCCACGGCAAGAAAAAGUCAUCAAAUUAGGAGGAAGCGCCGGACUGAACUGGCAGCCCGGAGUCGCGGCUGUGUUCUCAGACCAACUGCCGCCCUUCCGUGUGACUUUCGGCAAGCCUCUUCUCACUCGUGUUCUCACUUCAGGUUGUGCACGGCGUGCUUGUGCUGGAGUGGAAGCUUCCGGGCGUGCCCUCAAGUUUACUGAGGGACUGUCAGUCACCCUAUUAGUUGAUUUCAGUAAUUCUGAUGACAAAUAUAGAUGUAUAUAACAUAAAACAUAUAUGUAUAUGAAUGUGUUUUUAUAAAGAUAUAUAUAAUAGAUUUAUGUGGCUAUAAGAUUUAUUCUCAUAAGCCUUAUAAGGCAAUGAACAAUUACUUAUAGGCGGCACUUUGUUGUACACACAAUAUUAUUGUAUUGUACACACAAUAAAAAUCGUG